rnacentral:lncRNA from 1 species
GGGUGGGAUAUUUUCUUGCUGCAUAGAAGACUCCCAAGCAUUAGGGCCAUCAGCAAAUCGAGUAGGUCUUCGAUUACACCCACGAUCAGUCCUUCACGCCAUAUCACAUACAUAGGUUCACUUUAGUCAAGAUUUUAUUUAUGCAUGAGUCAAGAAUGUGCCUCAUAUCAGUUUAUUCUAAUCUAAAGGUCUACCCAUAUACACUCUCUUUGAAGUAAACCUUAGGAUUCCUAAAACCUAGGCUCUGAUACCACUCUGUCACACUCCGAACCCAGCACCUGCGUUGGCCAUGUGACACGAUCACACAAUUCCUAGAGCAGUACCCUAGAGAUCAUGUGAGGCCUAAAAUAAAUAUAAACUUAAAUAUUUUAAAUAACUAGAUAAAUACCAAAUAUAUCACCAAGUCACAUCUCCAAAUCAAAUAGUAAACUUUGUUCAAAUACAAUCAUUCAAAUGUUCAUUGGUAUCAGAAAAUUUAAACUAGAUUAAUUACUAAAAGCUUCAGUUCUUGUCUUCUCUCACCCAACCCAUCUGAACUAAAUAUCCUGUGAGUUUAAAAAAAAACAACAAGGGAGUAUGAGCUUCUUUAGCUCAGUAAAAAUCAUUGCACAUGUACAUCAAAUUAAUGGAUAAAGUAAAAAAUAUAUUAAUAUCAAAAUAAUUUUAUGAAGACUCAUAUAUAUAUAAAAUAACUCAAAUACUGGCAUAAACAUGCAUUUAAUAAAUAAUAAAUCAUCAUAUACCAUCAUGUGAGGUCUUUAUUCAAAAUUAAUUUACAAAAAUCUUAACAUCUAAUUCAUCUUUCUACAACUUCAGUUUGAUAAUCUUUUAUCCUUUUCAGCUUUGGACUAAUCUCAACGAUGCCUCAGUCUCCAUCCGAUCAAAUUUUCACUCAUAAGCUUUUCAAAGCUGUCUCAGGUAUGAGCUCCUGGCCAACUGUUCCAUGUAUGAAAGUCUGUGGGGGACUGUUCCAGAUAUAAGCUCCUGGUGGGCUGUCUCAAGCAUGAGCUCCUAACCGACUAUCUACGUAUAAGCUCGUGGGGGCUAUCCGAGGCAUAAAUUCCUGACAAGCUGUCCCAAGCAUAAGCUCC